UACGUAGGGCGCAAGCGUUGUCCGGAAUUAUUGGGCGUAAAGAGCUCGUAGGCGGUUUGUCGCGUCUGCUGUGAAAUCCCGAGGCUCAACCUCGGGCUUGCAGUGGGUACGGGCAGACUAGAGUGCGGUAGGGGGAGACUGGAAUUCCUGGUGUAGCGGUGGAAUGCGCAGAUAUCAGGAGGAACACCGAUGGCGAAGGCAGGUCUCUGGGC
rnacentral:rRNA from 1 species